rnacentral:rRNA from 1 species
UGGGUAAUUUUGGACAAUGGGGGAAACCCUGAUCCAGCCAUCCCGCGUGUGCGAUGAAGGCCUUCGGGUUGUAAAGCACUUUUGGCAGGAAAGAAACGUCAUGGGUUAAUACCCCGUGAAACUGACGGUACCUGCAGAAUAAGCACCGGCUAACUACGUGCCAGCAGCCGCGGUAAUACGUAGGGUGCAAGCGUUAAUCGGAAUUACUGGGCGUAAAGCGUGCGCAGGCGGUUCGGAAAGAAAGAUGUGAAAUCCCAGAGCUCAACUUUGGAACUGCAUUUUUAACUACCGGGCUAGAGUGUGUCAGAGGGAGGUGGAAUUCCGCGUGUAGCAGUGAAAUGCGUAGAUAUGCGGAGGAACACCGAUGGCGAAGGCAGCCUCCUGGGAUAACACUGACGCUCAUGCACGAAAGCGUGGGGAGCAAACAGG